UAGUCCACGCCCUAAACGAUGCUUACUCGAUGUUUGAUUUAAUUUGAGCAUCCAAGGGAAACCGUUAAGUAAGCCACCUGGGGAGUACGUUCGCAAGAAUGAAACUCAAAGGAAUUGACGGGGGUCCGCACAAGUGGUGGAGCGUGUGGUUUAAUUCGAUGAUACGCGAGGAACCUUACCUAGGCUCUAAUGUGAUUGCUAUCUGGUGAAAGCCGGAGUUCCUUCGGGACAUGAAACAAGGUGCUGCAUGGUUGUCGUCAGCUCGUGCCGUGAGGUGUUGGGUUAAGUCCCGCAACGAGCGCAACCCCUAUUGUUAGUUGCCAGCAUUAAGUUGGGGACUCUAGCAAGACUGCCGGCGUAAGCCGCGAGGAAGGUGGGAUGACGUCAAAUCAUCAUGGCCUUUAUGCCUAGGGCGACACACGUGCUACAAUGGUGCAUACAGAGGGUUGCCAAGCCGCGAGGUGGAGCUAAUCCCAGAAAGUGCAUCCCAGUUCGGAUUGGAGU
rnacentral:rRNA from 1 species